CCUAGGGACGCAGCAGUGGGGGAUAUUGCACAAUGGGGGGAACCCUGAUGCAGCGACGCCGCGUGGGUGAAGGAGCGUUUCGGCGCGUAAAGCCCUAUCGGCAGGGAAGAAGAUGACGGUACCUGACCAAGAAGCCCCGGCUAACUACGUGCCAGCAGCCGCGGUAAUACGUAGGGGGCAAGCGUUAUCCGGAUUUACUGGGUGUAAAGGGGGCGCAGACGGCAAUGCAAGCCAGGAGUGAAAGCCCGGGGCCCAACCCCGGGACUGCCCUUGGAACUGCUUGGCUGGGGUGCGGGAGGGGCAGG
rnacentral:rRNA from 1 species